rnacentral:rRNA from 1 species
AUUGAACGCUGGCGGCAUGCCUUACACAUGCAAGUCGAACGGCAGCGGACCUUCGGGUGCCGGCGAGUGGCGAACGGGUGAGUAAUAUAUCGGAACGUACCUUUCAGUGGGGGAUAACGUAGCGAAAGUUACGCUAAUACCGCAUAUUCUGUGAGCAGGAAAGCAGGGGAUCGCAAGACCUUGCGCUGAUUGAGCGGCCGAUAUCAGAUUAGCUAGUUGGUGAGGUAAAGGCUCACCAAGGCGACGAUCUCUAGCUGGUCUGAGAGGACGAUCAGCCACACUGGGACUGAGACACGGCCCAGACUCCUACGGGAGGCAGCAGUGGGGAAUAUUGGACAAUGGGCGAAAGCCUGAUCCAGCAAUGCCGCGUGUGUGAAGAAGGACCUGAGGGUUGUAAAGCACUCUCAAUCGUGAAGAAAAGUUGCAGGCUAAUACCCUGUGACCUUGACGUUAACGAUACAAGAAGCACCGGCUAA